GCAAUCCACCGGACCAUCACCGACCACACGUCUCCCCCACGCUCUCACACUCUCCGGUGUCCGCUCCGGCGGCCUCUCUCUCUCUCUCUCUCUCUCUCUCUCUCUCUCUCUCUCUCUCUCUCUCUCGUGCGGCUUGCCGUUGAGAUGCCCGCCGCCGUCACCAGAUCCGUCCUCCCCAUCGUGCAGUUGAGAUGUGUCGCCGCCGCCGCCAACGACGACAUCUUCCUCGGCCGCCGGAGCUCAGAUCCGCCCUGCCCCUCCGGCUGCCGUCGAUACAGACCACGACCGACGCCUCCAGUCAUCUCCUAUGUACUCCUACAUCGACGGGGUCGUGCUUCCUUCUCGGUCGCCAUGGGUGUGGAGUGCCUGACCACAGCCUGUGCGUAAAAUCCCCAAAUUUCACACGGUGACAAACUCCGUCUCCCCAUUGACGCCCGUCUCCAGCGAGGGUUCCUCCUCAACCGCUCUGUCAUGGCCCCCUUCAUCUCCGCGGAAUCCUACAUGUUGCAGCAUGAGCGUAUUUUUCUCUCAUGAAGAUAUUGCCUUGUCUGCCUCAUGCAUCCAAACAUUGCAAAAUCAAACAAACUAAAUUGCAAAAGUAAAUCAUAAUUUUGGAACAUGAUUCUACUGGAAGCAUGUUCAGGGAAGUUCAGGCUGAGCCACCAACAUUCUUACAGCAUCCGGACUUGACAUUUCAGUCAGGUUCCAGAAAAGGUAACAAAAACAAAACAACCCAUUGGCAAGAUUUGCCAUUUCUAGUCACCUACGCUAUAUGUCUCGGGCCCACGCAUUGACCAUUCCAUACCUAUUUCCAGUAAGUAUUUCUUUUCUCGUCUCAUCAUAGAACAUGGUGGUUACCCCUGACAGGGCCUCAGCAACUGUGUGUGCUACUGGAGGCUCCCCAGUUUGAGCAGUAAGCCCAGUUUGGUUGUCACUGAUUUCAGCUAGCCGUUUCCCGUUGCAAAUAUUAGUUACAUUGAUCAGUGCACCUUCAAAGCCUGCAAUAACAAUGUCAUUAUCAUAAGUUCAGAACUACCCGAUAUUGGGUUAACCAGGGUUAGUUUAGUUAAAAGAAUAUUACCUCGAGCAGGUGCAAAGUAAGACAUCAGGAUCUUGGCAUUGUCAUUGAUCGCAAAUUGCUUCAGCUGUAAGGGCGGAGGGUAUUGCACCUCUGUUAAAAGCUCAGCGUUGCAAUUGAAAAUCGAAACUUCAGCUGCCGAUCCAAUAAUUAUUAGAUUAUCGCCUAGAAAUUUGACACCACAGGUUGAAGCUUUUAAUGGUUGCUUGUCCUUAUUAUCCUUGCAUAACUGAACCAGGAAAAGCUGCAGUUUAGUAUCGUACUUCAAUGAUAUAUUGAUAAUAAUAGAACCUAGUUAAUGUAUUGGGGCGUAUGAUACCUACUUUUUUUAUCACGAGUGGCUUCUUGGCCUGGCUGAGAACUAGUGUAUCUCGCAUUAGGUUAAUGUAAUCGACAUCGAUUGUGUCCUUGAUCUGAAUCUUGUAACUUUUAGUUGCAGAUCCUUCCUGUAUUGAGAAUGCUUGUAUGGGAAUGCGACCGAACUGAUCCCUUCUGUACUCAAGGAUCAGCAUAUUGUGACUGCAAGGUAGUCAGUAUGAAACUAUGAUAUUUAUUUUUGCAAAGAGACACUUUAGCUAGGAUGCAAUUAAGUAACUAACAGAAAUAAAAUAGAUUACCUUCUCUUGAAGGAUUGCAUAUUUCCCACCUGUACUGAUCUGACCAUGCGGAAAUCCUUCAAGUCAAAUAUAGAGAUAGACUUCAACCUGACAUUUUUUUAUUUGUUUAGCUUAUAGAAAUAUAUAAUUGCGUAUAGAUAUUUUUUGUACCAUAUUUAUAUACAGGUACCUAUUGUUGUUCUGUGAUGAAAUCACUGCUGCCUUCUCAAUAUCUUGGAACAUCUCCACAUCGUCAGCAUCUUUAAUCUUUACUUCGUGGAAUACCCUUCGACGCCGGUAACUUGCUCUAGAGGUUGUAAUAUGGUGGCUCACAUUCUAGCAACAUAUGGGAUAAAUCUAAAAUCUAGCGAUGGCGUCCACAAAACCCUCUGUCACAGAUCUGAUGCUGCUGGUUUGAAAGGUUGAAAGGAAAUUAUCAUCUACUCUAGCGAUGGCAUCCUAUGGUGCUAAACUGAGGCUGGUGGACUCAAUGCUGAUCUCGUUUGCAGUUUAUGCCAUGUGCUCUAUUAGAAUCCCUCCCAAGAUCUUGGCAUACCUCUCGACAAACUACGCCACCUAUGCCUCUGGAGAAGAAAAACUGAUCAAGGAGAAACUUCAAACUCGCUGGCUGCAUGGACGAUGGUGUGUAAACCAAAACAGAAAGGGGGGCUGGGGGUCCCCGACACCAAGAUCUUAAACACUGCACUUCUCUUGAAGUUCCUAGACAAAUUCUACAAUCACCAUGAUGUGCCAUGGGUCGAGUUGAUUUGGUCCACGUACUCCACUAGUUCUGUAACGCACGCGGCGGGCCCAUGUGGAUCAUUUUGGUGGAGAGAGUUAAUACCCUUAUGCCGAUUUAACGCGGGAUCACCUCUGUUUCUACUCUCUUCUGGAAGAAUCAGUGGUGCGGGCAGAUACUCUCGGAUGCCUACCCGAGAGCUUUCUCUUAUGCUGUUUAUGAAGAUGCCACUGUCGAGCAAUUUCUCACGAUGCACUUGCUUGGUGAAGGCUUACAUCUACCAAUGUCAGUUCAGGUGCGCCAGGAGGUGGCCCAACUACACUUUGAGACUGCCAAAACUAGCAUCAAUACUAUGGCUACUGAUGACUGGGGGCCUAGGUACACGUCUGCUUGAUACUACACAUUUCUUCAGACAAUUCAGGAACCCUUCAAACGGAUUUGGAGGUCCAGGUGCGUUAUGAAGCUGAAAGUGUUGGCUUGGUUGCUACUGUCAGAUGGCCUAAACACCAAAGAUAUGUUAGGUUGCAGGCAUUACGUGGUGGGACCGGGCUCGCAGCGAUCUGACUGCUGCGCCCUUUGCCUUACCCAAUCCAAUGAAACUGUAGAGAACUUGAUCUUCUCGUGCACCUUUGCUAGGGAGUGAUGGAGCAAACUUGGAAUAACGUGGGGGGCUGGAAACGACAGAUUUGAAUGGUUGACACAUGCCAAGAGGGGCCAGGCUCAUGUUCAUGGAAGUCUUUGUGGGGGUGCCUGGCGCAGGAGGUUUAAGCAGGACUUUGGUCUGCUCAAGUGCCUUCUUUUUUUGCCUGCUGUCAGAGUUCUUCCUCUUCUUUUAUUUAUUGCUUUGGGCAGCCCCCAUGGCGGUGCCCCCCGUGUGUAUUUUGUAAAUCAUGUAACUCCUACACAUUUACUGUGCUUGCUUAAUACAAUGAGACUAGGAAACUCUCCUACAGUCAUUUAAAGUUCAAAAAAGAAAAAUCUGAAAUCUAGCGUUGGUGAACUGCAACAAAACUAUUUAUUUGACUGCAGUGUAUGUUCCUUUACAGGAAAAGAUUGCUGUGAAGCUACCAAUCAAUCAGUGGCAUGAUUUUAUAUCUACUGUACUUCCUAGAUAAGCAAGCACU